UGUCCCGUAGCACAACGGUGGUGCGGCUGGCUGUUAACCAGACGGGUGCAGGUUCGAGUCCUGCCGGGACAG
rnacentral:tRNA from 1 species